rnacentral:rRNA from 1 species
UCGAGAAUUUUUCUCAAUGGGCGAAAGCCUGAAGGAGCGACGCCGCGUGAGGGAUGAAGGGCUUCGGCCCAUAAACCUCUGUCAUUUGCGAACAAACCUUAUCCGUGAACAACGGAUAGGCUGAUUGUAGCGAAAGAGGAAGGGCCGGCUAACUCCGUGCCAGCAGCCGCGGUAAUACAGAGGUCCCAAGCGUUGUUCGGAUUCACUGGGCGUAAAGGGUGCGUAGGUGGCUGGGUAAGUUUGAUGUGAAAUCUCCGGGCUCAACCCGGAAAAUGCAUUGAAUACUAUCCAGCUAGAGGUUUGGAGGGGGGACUGGAAUUCUUGGUGUAGCAGUGAAAUGCGUAGAUAUCAAGAGGAACACCAGUGGCGAAGGCGAGUCCCUGGACAAAUCCUGACACUGAGGCACGAAAGCUAGGGGAGCAAA